AAGGCUAUACUUUCAGGGAUCAUUUCUAUAUUUCCUUACUAGAGAAGUUUAUCUGAAUAACAUAUAGAUGUGUAGGGAACCAGAAACCACAAGGAGGAAGUGCAGCAU
rnacentral:snRNA from 1 species